rnacentral:pre_miRNA from 1 species
UCAUGCACCACUACCAGUUGAAGCUGCCAGCAUGAUCUUAACUUCCCUCACUUGCUGUGGAAAGAUCAGAUCAUGUGGCAGUUUCACCUAGUAGUUGUUGGCCGCAUGA